UACGAAGGGGGCUAGCGUUGCUCGGAAUGACUGGGCGUAAAGGGCGCGUAGGCGGAUGGCACAGUCAGAUGUGAAAUUCCCGGGCUUAACCUGGGGGCUGCAUUUGAUACGUGUGAUCUAGAGUGAGGAAGAGGGUCGUGGAAUUCCCAGUGUAGAGGUGAAAUUCGUAGAUAUUGGGAAGAACACCGGGUGGCGAAGGCGGCGACCUGGUCCUUGACUGACGCUGGAGGCGCGAAAGCGUGGGGAGCAAACAGG
rnacentral:rRNA from 1 species